ensembl:lncRNA PMS2P4 PMS1 homolog 2, mismatch repair system component pseudogene 4
GGGGCGCCUGUGGGAGUCGUGGAGGGAACUUUCCCAGGCCCCGAGGCGGAUCGGGUAUUGAGUCCAUGGAGCGAGCUGAGAGCUAGAGAACCUGCUAAGGCCAUCAAACCUAUCGAUCGGAAGUCAGUCCAUCAGAUUUGCUCUGGGCCGGUGGUACUGAGUCUAAGCACUGCGGUGAAGGAGUUAGUAGAAAACAGUCUGGAUGCUGGUGCCACCAAUAUUGAUCUAAAGCUUAAGGACUAUGGAGUGGAUCUCAUUGAAGUUUCAGACAAUGGAUGUGGGGUAGAAGAAGAAAACUUUGAAGGCUUAACGAUGUCACCAUUUCUACCUGCCACGCAUCGGCGAAGGUUGGGACUCGACUGGUGUUUGAUCACGAUGGGAAAAUCAUCCAGAAAACCCCCUACCCCCACCCCAGAGGGACCACAGUCAGCGUGAAGCAGUUAUUUUCUACACUACCUGUGCACCAUAAGGAAUUUCAAAGGAAUAUUAAGAAGGACUCCUAGAAGGACCCCACCCCCCUCCCCCAACCCCUGCUCCCAGGAGGACACGUGAUCACUGUAUUCAGCUCCAUCAAGAAUGGUCCAGGUUCUUCUAGAUGAUCUGCACAAAUGGUUCCUCUUCUCCUUCCUGGUGUCUGCCAUUAGCAUUGGAAUAAAGUUCCUGCUGAAAAUCCA